AGGACUAUAAAAGGCUGCUCCCGGAGUUGUUUGUUCUCUUUCACGGCGGGUGUCACCCUGAAAGGGGCAGGAUGCUUUCUGCUGUCCUCUAUGUUUUUUGAAGGGGUUUCCUCCUUUCCCUUCACAUGUUCUUGCUUGCAGUAGUUAACCUCUAGUUUUAUGGACAAAAAUAGCCUUGCUUCCAGCGGCAAGGAACACUGGUGUCUUUGAUGCCAGUGCGCAGAAUGGAAUGUCCAGAGAUGAGCGACUAGAUUGGAUCCAUCUGGAAUGUUGAGGCCGGGCAGUUAAAGAUGAGAAAUUAUCUUACUGGUCGGCCUCUGCGCAACUCUCAAAGCAACGAAACUAAUGACCACUCAACCAAAGCGAAACAAAACAACCAACCAAACAAACAAACAACUUUUUUUUUAUUUUAGCUUAUUUUUUUAGUUUGUUUUUUUAGCUUUAGGUUGUCUGCGUUGCUUGGUUCGGUGGGUUGAGAGGCGCCAACCGAUAAAGUCAAAUGCCUCCUUUUAAGGCUGUACGCAUAAUUUCUGUCAACUUAAAAAAACAAUAAAAAAAGAAAAACUUCUUCUAAA